rnacentral:rRNA from 1 species
AUUGAACGCUGGCGGCAUGCCUCACACAUGCAAGUCGAACGGUAACAGGUCUUCGGAUGCUGACGAGUGGCGAACGGGUGAGUAAUACAUCGGAACGUGCCUAGUAGUGGGGGAUAACUACUCGAAAGAGUGGCUAAUACCGCAUGAGAUCUACGGAUGAAAGCAGGGGAUCGCAAGACCUUGUGCUACUAGAGCGGCCGAUGGCAGAUUAGGUAGUUGGUGGGAUAAAAGCUUACCAAGCCGACGAUCUGUAGCUGGUCUGAGAGGACGAUCAGCCACACUGGGACUGAGACACGGCCCAGACUCCUACGGGAGGCAGCAGUGGGGAAUUUUGGACAAUGGGCGAAAGCCUGAUCCAGCAAUGCCACGUGCAGGAUGAAGGCCUUCGGGUUGUAAACUGCUUUUGUACGGAACGAAAAGCUCUGGGUUAAUACCCUGGGGUCAUGACGGUACCGUAAGAAUAAGCACCGGCUAACUACGUGCCAGCCGCCGCGGUAACAC